rnacentral:rRNA from 1 species
CAACCUGCCGUCUACUCUUGGACAGCCUUCUGAAAGGAAGAUUAAUACAAGAUGGCAUCAUGAGUCCGCAUGUUCACAUGAUUAAAGGUGUUCCGGUAGACGAUGGGGAUGCGUUCCAUUAGAUAGUAGGCGGGGUAACGGCCCACCUAGUCUUCGAUGGAUAGGGGUUCUGAGAGGAAGGUCCCCCACAUUGGAACUGAGACACGGUCCAAACUCCUACGGGAGGCAGCAGUGAGGAAUAUUGGUCAAUGGGCGAGAGCCUGAACCAGCCAAGUAGCGUGAAGGAUGACUGCCCUACGGGUUGUAAACUUCUUUUAUAAAGGAAUAAAGUCGGGUAUGCAUACCCGUUUGCAUGUACUUUAUGAAUAAGGAUCGGCUAACUCCGUGCCAGCAGCCGCGGUAAUACGGAGGAUCCGAGCGUUAUCCGGAUUUAUUGGGUUUAAAGGGAGCGUAGAUGGAUGUUUAAGUCAGUUGUGAAAGUUUGCGGCUCAACCGUAAAAUUGCAGUUGAUACUGGAUAUCUUGAGUGCAGUUGAGGCAGGCGGAAUUCGUGGUGUAGCGGUGAAAUGCUUAGAUAUCACGAAGAACUCCGAUUG